rnacentral:rRNA from 1 species
UACGUAGGGUGCAAGCGUUAAUCGGAAUUACUGGGCGUAAAGCGUGCGCAGGCGGUGAUGUAAGACCGUUGUGAAAUCCCCGGGCUCAACCUGGGAACUGCAUCUGUGACUGCAUCGCUGGAGUGCGGCAGAGGGGGAUGGAAUUCCGCGUGUAGCAGUGAAAUGCGUAGAUAUGCGGGGGAACACCGAUGGCGAAGGCAAUCCCCUGGGCCUGCACUGACGCUCAUGCACGAAAGCGUGGGGAGCAAACAGG